UGUCUGCACCUCAAGUCAGUCUGGAUGGAGUAUUUGGGAUGCUUCUGUAAUCAGGAGGGGGAAGGGAGGAGAGGAGACGAGAGAGCAGAGCAGAGGAGAGCCAGGUCAUGUGUAUCAACCACAACGUCCUCUACAACCUCUUCACUCUGACCCCAAACACCCUGAUUCCUGACCACAAUGUCUCUGAGCACACUGUGUUUGACCGUAUAAUUUGUGAACACACACACACACACAUACACACACAUCCCUGCUCUGACCCAGGAGAAGCCAUUCCAUUAGUGAUAAACACACUCUGUUACCUGGCAACAACAUGGAUGGCCUAUUUUGAACGCUUCAAGAUCUACAUGUCUGAAUCUGUCUGCUGCUCCCACAAAUAUAUUCUCCUUUUUCCUGGAUGAGAGGUGUGUGUGUGUGUGUGUGUGUCUCUAAAUGGCUACAAUGGCUUUGGUAUAGAAAGAUUGCAGGUUCGAGUCCCACUUUGACCGUCCCCCAAAUUCACCAUGUGUUGGUUAGGAAAAAUAGCUUGAGCACUCCUCUUCAGAAGCCUUACCUAAAGUAAGGAUCAGGGGAAUUGGAGAAGGAAUGAUACAUUUAGUCAAACCUCCAAUGAAUUAAAGACUAUUCUGUUCAUUUUGUAUUUGUGAUGUUCACUCGGUAACCAUUAAAGAAUCAUCAUGUUUCUCCUCCUAAUCGGCCCGAGCAGUGAAAUGCGAUAUUAAAGCUGUUUGUUUGUGUGUGUGUGUGUGUGUGUGUGUGUGUGUGUGCUCCAGAGAGUCGCUGUGUUCUUCAAGGAAGUGCUUUUGUGUGAUGAAAUAACUUAACAGGCUUCCAGACAACAUCUUUCUUUAUUCAUGUCUAUUCUUUCACUCUAUACAUGGCCACAAUCAGUGCUCCUGUAUAUAGAAAUUCUAUUGCAUUACAGUGGGCUAAAGACUUACAGUUACUACUGCGGUGGGCUAAAUCAGGGUCACAGAGUGUUUCUUGGUAGUCUUAAACAAAUCUACUUUGAAACAAAUGUAUACACCUCACACACAUGGUUAUGUGCUUUAAAAAAGAGGACACCUGUACCAUGUCAGAUAUAGAGUUGAAAUGUAUUCCAUUUUGAGUUUGCAUCCAAAUAUUACACUUAACAUAUAUCACAGAAGACCGAAAUAUAAGAAAACCGGUUGACAUGGAAACCCCGGGGCGCAGUGGUCUAAGGCAGUGCCACUAGAGAUUCUGGGUUCGAGUCCAGGCUCUGUCGCAUGCCGGCCACGACCGGGAGACCCAUGGGCCGGUGCACAAUUGGCUCAGCGACAUCCUGGUUACGGGAGGGUUUGGAUGUCCUUGUCCCAUCGCGCACCAGCGACUCCUGUGGCGGGCUGGGCGCAGUGCACGCCGGCAUGGUCGCCAGGUGUACGGUGUUUCCUCUGACACAUUGGUGCGGCUGGCUUCUGGGUUUAGUGGGCAUUGUGUCUUGAAGCAGCGCGGGCUUGGCCGGGUUGUGUUUCAGAGGACAGAGGCUCUUGGCCUUCGCCUUUCCUGAGUCCGUACGGGACUUGCAGUGAAAUUGGGGUAAAAAAAAAAAAAAAGUUUAUUAAUUGAAUCCUACAGACGAAGAACCAUAUAUGUGACAUAAAAAAAAAGAGAUAUACAUGAAAAAUAAUUAUUGGACACCAUUUUUCUAUAGUGAACCGGUUUCACAAGCUUUCCACGCGCUAAUUAACAAUAAUUUUACAUUUAAAGAUAGGCUCUCGUGGAAUAACCGUUUAUGUGCACCACUCAGAAUGGACGGACAAGCGCACAACCUUUCUGUUGCUGAUGAAAAUCGCAGAAAUGUGGGAAAGAAACGUAAAACAAAACUAAAAGAAUGGAAAGACAGGCAAAGGAAGAUCUUACGGGAUGCGGGAAAACCCUAUACAAAUCGUAAGGGUCAAGAAAAAACUGGGAAAAGCUGUCCAAAAGAGGUAUGUGGAAGAACCGUAUAUCAAACAAUCAAGCUAGCUAGCUAUAGAGUACAGUAACUAACAUGUAUGUUCUGGGUUGUCUAAUUUGUAACUAUAGAGAAAACAUAUUAGCUAGUUCGUUGGCUACUAACUCAUACAUUAUCGUUACAAAUGUUAUUGCUAGAUUAUAGAAGAAACAUAGCUAGCUACUUUUUCUCCGUCCACCGGAUGAUUCGACAUGGCUACAGUAGCUAGCUAGUUGCACUGUAUCCUGCCGGGAAGAGCGUGUUCCACGACGUGCAGAAAGGAUUGUGGAAAGUUGACUGAUGAACGCAAGCUGCAUCUGUUCAACAGUUUCUACACUGUCCCAUACGAGAAACAACAAGCGUUGAUUCUCUCCGGCUUAGAACAGGUUAGAAAUAAGACAAAACGCCUAUUAUUAUAAUAGCUAUAUUGAACACUUGCAUAGUUUAACUUUGACAGUAAUGAUACGUACAUUAACGUUAACUCUAAAAGUGCUGUGUUACACAAUGGUGCAAUACAAACUCAUUCUGUGUAUAGAUUGGGAGUGUGUGAAAGAUGGAGGUCCUGAUCAAGCAAUAUCCUGAAUGUGCUACAGUAUAUUAAAUUCUGAAUUCAUCAUUGUCAAUUUUUAUUGCAGCAUGAGGUGAAACGGAGACAUAAACCUGAGGAUACAAAGGAGAACAAACGACGGAAACAAACCUUCAAAUACCAUGUACAGCAAGCAGGCCAGAGAUUGAAUGUGUGCAAGGUUACUUUCAUGUCUGUGUUCCAGCUAACCAACAGCUGUCUUCAGGCAAGUGAAAAUAUGAAUUAAUGUCUAUAUGAAUAUCAAUUACAAACAUAUUGUAUUCUCUGUACUAGUUUUUAAUAACCUGCUAAUUGAAAUGUAAUUGUUUUGGUCAGGUUAUUCAGGAAAAGUUAGCUGAGGCAGGUGAGGUUGCAGGGUCUCCAGAUCAGGCUACUGAGGCUAGGUCUCCUUUAGAAGAUGGAAGAGGGAAGCAUAGCAAUAGGUAAUGCGCUAUGGAUUCCAGCCUGGAUUAUUUCACUAUAGCAGUGCUCUAAACAAUCUUCUAAACAUUAACAUAGAGUAUCGAAUGGAUGAAUAGCGAAUUCUGAAACAAAAAUAUAAAAAUGUUUAUUACUUUUAAACAAAAUGAUGGUAACUAAGCUGUCCAACUACCACCUGAGCAUUGAGGACAUAGUGCUGAUUACCUUCCCCCUCCCACCGGACAGCACUGGCCUAAUUCUCGCCGCCCUACAGGACCCCCCGGCCACAAACGGCAAUGGCGUGACCGGGAUUUAUACCCCGGUUAUCGCGACACAGUUGCACUCUAUGGCAGGUCCCUAGACCAUUGAGAGAAUGCAAGUUUAACAACACCUUGUUGUGUCCUUACAGGCCACAUCGGAUACAUGCUACAGUGAAAGAGGGCAUCAAGGAGCCUGCCAUUUCCCAAGAACCCAGAACCACUACUCUCGGAUGAAGGGGGAUGUACACAGAGAAUACCUCAGCCCUGAUCUGAAUUUGUUGCGAAUGUACCGACUCUACAAAGAGAAGAAUACCACAUCACCUGCAAAAUUCUGGGUUUAUAGGGACAUUUUCAAACUGCAGAGUCUCAAUUUUGGCCAACCCAGGAGUGACACCUGUGGCAAAUGUGACGCAUUCUUCACUAAGAUGUCAGUAGCAACAUCUGAAGAGGAGAAGAGGAAGAUUGCAGUUGAAAGUGAGUUGCACCAUCGAAAAGCCGAAAAGGCCUACACACAGCUUCAAAGUGACACUGAGUGGGCUAAAGCCAAUGCUGACUGCCAUGUCAUUUCUGUGGAUCUACAGGGGGUGAUGUACACCCCUAAUCUGACCCACUCCAAUGUCUACUACCAGCGGCAGCUGUCAAAUUUUAACUUUUGCAUCCAGGAACUUGGAAAAGAAGAUCCUGCAUACAUGUGUGUUUGGCAUGAGGGGAUUGCACACCGAGGGUCCAUUGAGGUGGCAAGCUGCAUAAUGAAGUGGGUGAAGACAAAAUUCACGCCACUCACCAAACCAGAGGUGCGCAAGUUGAUUAUAUUCAGUGACAGAUGCUGUGGGCAGAAUAACAACUGGCGGAUGCUCAAUCUGAUGUCGAUGCUCGUCUCUAUGGGUUACUUUACCCAAGUUCAUGGUCUCUGGUCAUUCUUUUCUUCCUUGUGAUCAAUCUUUUGCCACCAUCGAGAAGAGGCGCAAGGUGUCAGUCCUUCAUACACCUGAUGAUGUUUCAAAGAUGAUACUUGAAGCACAACCAGCAAAACCAUUCAAGGUGAUGAGGAUGCAAUGUGAAGACUUCAGGCACCUCCCAGAUUCUGUCCUCAAGCGACCAGCUGGACUACAGAUCACCUCAGUGAGGUGGUUAAAAGUCACAGUUGAGGAUCCUUGGAAUCUGUACGCCAGACAGAGCCACAGUCUAUUUGAGGGAUGGAAAUCGUGGCUGAUCUCCAAACCAAAACAAGGAGCUACACCUCAACCUCCCUAUUUUGCAAGCCACUACCCUAGAGCAUAUGAGAGUCCUCUGCCCAU